rnacentral:rRNA from 1 species
AGGGAAGAGCUCAUCAUUGGAAUCUGGCAGUGUUGCACUGUCCGAGUUGUAGAUGAGGAGUAGUCCUCUGGACUGCAUGGCGUCCAAGUACAAUAGGCCGUCAGUGGGACAUCAUAGAGGGUGACAAUCCCGUCCUUGAUGCCAAUGUGCAAGUCCGUUACGAUGGCUAUCUCAGAGAGUCGAGCAGUUUGGGAUUUGCUGCUUAAACAUGGGAGGUAGAUUCCUUCUAAAGCUAAAUACAGGCGAGAGACCGAUAGAGAACAAGUACCGCAAGGGAAAGAUGAAAUAGCACUCUGUGAAGGGAGUCAAAAGGCGUGAAAUUGUUGCGAGAGAAGCGAUUCAAGUCAGCGUAGCUAGGCCCAUCAAGCGUCUCGCUUUGGACUAGCUUUGCCAGCGGUCUUGUCCUUUAGAGAGACUUGACUUGUUAACGAUGUCCAGCCUGGUAUGCACAGGUAGCCCCCCGGGGUCAGUGGCAUGGCUGGUGGAAUGGCUUGCAAUCGACCCGUCUUGAAACACGGACCAAGGAGUCUAACAUGUAUGCGAGUAUAAGGGUGGCAAACCCGUAUGCGCAAUGAACGUGAUUUUCGGUGAUUGAGAAUGGCCUGAUGACCAGACAAGCAAUACAUGUCCCUCGGACGGCCAUUGCCCAAGUUCCGUGGUAGAUCCCAUGAACAUGGAGUUGGAGCAUACAUGCUAGGACCCGAAAGAUGGUGAACUAUGCCUGGACAAAGCGAAGCCAAAGGAAACUCUGGUGGAGGCUUGUAGCGAUUCUGACGUGCAAAUCGAUCGUC